rnacentral:rRNA from 1 species
GACGAACGCUGGCGGCGUGCCUAAUACAUGCAAGUCGAGCGAGGCGACGGAUGGGUGAGUAACGCGUGGGUAACCUGACCUUAAGUCUGGAAUGCCAUUUGGAAACAGAUUCUAAUACCGGAUACUUAAGGAUGGGCUGGCGAUGCAUUAGCUAGUUGGUAAGGUAACGGCUUACCAAGGCGAUGAUGCAUAGGCGCGUUGAGAGACUGAUCGGCCACAUUGGGACGUAGACACGGCCCAAACUCCUACGGGCGGAAGCAGUAGGGAAUUUUCCACAAUGGACGAAAGUCUGAUGGAGCAACGCCGCGGGAGUGAAGAAGGUUUUCGGAUCGUAAAGCUCUGUUGUUGGUGAAGCGGUAAUCAACCAGAAAGUCACGGCUAACUACGUGCCAGCAGCCGCGGUAAUUC